rnacentral:rRNA from 1 species
GAUGAACGCUGGCGGCGUGCCUAAUACAUGCAAGUCGAGCGAGCAGAUUCGGAGCUUGCUCCUCUGACGUUAGCGGCGGACGGGUGAGUGACAUGUGGAUACCCUACCUAUAAGACUGGUAUCUCUUCGAGAAACCAGAUCUUAUAGCGGAUAAUAUAUUGAACCGCUGGGUUUAAUAGUGAAAGACGGUUUUGCUGUCGCUUGUAGCUGGAUCCGCGUGGCAUGAGCUAGUUGGUAAGGUAACGCUUUACCAAGGCGACGAUGCGCAGCGGGCCCGAGAGGGUGAGCGGCCGCACGGGAACGGAGACACGGUCCAGACUCCUAAGGGAGGCCACAGUAGGGAAGGGGGCGCAAGGGGCGAAUGCCUGACGGUGGGACACAGCGUGAGUGAUGAAGGUCGCCGGAUCGUAGAACGCUGUUAUGAGGGAAGGCCAAAUGGGUAAGUAACUAGGCACGUCUUGACGUGACCUAAUGAGAAAGCCCCGGCUAACUACGUG